AUUGAACGCUGGCGGAAUGCUUUACACAUGCAAGUCGAACGGCAGCACGGACUUCGGUCUGGUGGCGAGUGGCGAACGGGUGAGUAAUACAUCGGAACGUGCCCAAUCGUGGGGGAUAACGUAGCGAAAGCUACGCUAAUACCGCAUACGAUCUAAGGAUGAAAGCGGGGGAUAGCAAGACCUCGCGCGAUUGGAGCGGCCGAUGACAAGUUAGGUAGUUGGUAGGGUAAAGGAUUACCAAGCCGACGAUCUGUAGCGGGUCUGCGAGGAUGAUCACGCACACUGGGACUGAGACACGGCCCAGACUCCUACGGGAGGCAGCAGUGUGGAAUUUUGGACAAUGGACGCAAGUCUGAUCCAGCCAUUCCGCGUGCAGGAUGAAGGCCCUCGGGUUGUAAACUGCUUUUGUACAGAACGAAAAGGCUCUGGUUAAUACCUAGGGCUCAUGACGGUACUGUAAGAAUAAGCACCGGCUAACUACGUGCCAGCCGCCGCAGUAA
rnacentral:rRNA from 1 species